rnacentral:rRNA from 1 species
GAUGAACGCUGGCGGCGUGCCUAAUACAUGCAAGUCGAGCGAAUGGAUUAAGAGCUUGCUCUUAUGAAGUUAGCGGCGGACGGGUGAGUAACACGUGGGUAACCUGCCCAUAAGACUGGGAUAACUCCGGGAAACCGGGGCUAAUACCGGAUAACAUUUUGAACCGCAUGGUUCGAAAUUGAAAGGCGGCUUCGGCUGUCACUUAUGGAUGGACCCGCGUCGCAUUAGCUGGUUGGUGAGGUAACGGCGCACCAAGGCAACGAUGCGUAGCCGACCUGGGAGGGUGAUCGGCCAAACUGGGACUGAGAAACCGCCCAGACUCCUACGGGAGGCAGCAGUAGGGAAUCUUCCGCAAUGGACGAAAGUCUGACGGGGCAACGCCGCGGGAGUGAUGAAGGCUUUCGGGUCGUAAAACUCUGUUGUUAGGGAAGAACAAGUGCUAGUUGAAUAAGCUGGCACCUUGACGGUACCUAACCAGAAAGCCACGGCUAACUACGUGCCAGCCGCCGCGGUAA